rnacentral:SRP_RNA from 1 species
GCUGGGCGUGGUGGCGCACGCUUGUAAUCCCAGUUACUUGGGAGGCUGAGGCAGAGAACUGCUUGAACCCGAGAGGUGGAGGUUGCAGUGAGCCGAGAUGGCGACACUGCACUCCAGCCUGGGUGAUAGAGCGACACUCCGUCCCCCCAGCAAAAAAAAAAAAAAGACAGAGUCUCGCUCUAUCGCCCAGGCUAGAGUGCAGUGGCACAAUCUCAGCUCACUGCAACCUCCACCUCCCGGGUUUAAGUCAUUCUUGUGCCUCAG